rnacentral:rRNA from 1 species
UAACUGAAGAGUUUGAUCAUGGCUCAGAUUGAACGCUGGCGGCAGGCUUAACACAUGCAAGUCGAGCGGGGGAAGGUAGCUUGCUACUGGACCUAGCGGCGGACGGGUGAGUAAUGCUUAGGAAUCUGCCUAUUAGUGGGGGACAACAUCUCGAAAGGGAUGCUAAUACCGCAUACGUCCUACGGGAGAAAGCAGGGGAUCUUCGGACCUUGCGCUAAUAGAUGAGCCUAAGUCGGAUUAGCUAGUUGGUGGGGUAAAGGCCUACCAAGGCGACGAUCUGUAGCGGGUCUGAGAGGAUGAUCCGCCACACUGGGACUGAGACACGGCCCAGACUCCUACGGGAGGCAGCAGUGGGGAAUAUUGGACAAUGGGGGGAACCCUGAUCCAGCCAUGCCGCGUGUGUGAAGAAGGCCUUAUGGUUGUAAAGCACUUUAAGCGAGGAGGAGGCUACUUUAGUUAAUACCUAGAGAUAGUGGACGUUACUCGCAGAAUAAGCACCGGCUAACUCUGUGCCAGCAGCCGCGGUAAUACAGAGGGUGCGAGCG